ACUGAAGAAGGAAUGAGAUCAGGCCAUAUCGUUCAUUCUUCCAUUAUUUUCCUUUCCACUCUCUGGUUCUGAACAACCUAUUCUUCUCUCAGCAAAAUCGAUAAAAAAAUUUUAGGGGUUUAUUCCAAAUCAAGUUGAAUUGUAGUUUCCGUUGUUUAUUUGGUAAUUUUUGGUGAUGAUAUGGCAGUGGGCGAGAUUGUUCUUGGCGGCUUAAUGAUUGGGUAGCUGUUGUUGAUGGUUGUUCUCGCUUAAAGUUGCUGGUGGUGAUUUGUUCUUGUCGUGCUCGAAGAAUUUUUUUCACAGGCGAUGGAGGUUCGAGGUCAACACCAGCCAAACUGCACAACAAGUGUUUGAGAAAUGUCCCAAAACAAACAAUGGUGGUAAUCAAAGUGUGGUACAUGUGUUCAUGUGGUGAGGACUCGUUACUUGUGAUCUAGCAUGAGCGGUCUUUCAACUCAAUUAAUAUUGGAAACAUUCAUGUGCAACUAUACCGUAUUAUGGGUCAGUAUGGAGUACCGCUUAAUGAUUCUGUUCGUGUAGUUGCAAAUGCCAAUAUUGCGAUGGAAAAAUUAGCGGUGAAGUUCUUCGGAACAUGAGUUACAAAUACUAUUUCUGGGAUUUGAUUGUUGAGCCAACUACCUUCGGCAACUGAAUCUAUAGGAUGUUGAACUUGGGUUUGAGCAUUGAUGAAGAUUGUGCUGACACAGAAGCUGACCUAGAGAUGCAUGAACUUGUUGAAGACGAUGCUAAGGGUAGCAAGAUGAAGAAGGUCGACUAAGCCCUUAGUUGAUUGCUUUGAGUUUCUUUUGUCGACAAUUUCUGUUGAUAUUAGCUUUUUUUUUACUACUUUUUUUUUUCUUCCUGCUUUAGAAUUUUGGUACUUUCUUUUACGAAAAAUAGUGGGUGAAUUCUAGGUUGCCACGCUUCAAGGAGAUAGUGACAUGUACAUAUGUUAUGCGUACAUAUUAAAUUGUUUAUGAAUAACUGAGUUAACUAGCUGCUGAAA